rnacentral:rRNA from 1 species
GUUGUAUGGUUAAGUGACUAAGCGUAUGUGGUGGAUGCCUUGGCAGUUAGAGGCGAUGAAGGACGUGUUAAUCUGCGAUAAGCAUUGGUAAGGUGAUAAAAACCGUAAUAGCCAAUGAUUUCCGAAUGGGGAAACCCACUGACAUAAGUCAGUAUCAUUAAGUGAAUACAUAGCUUAAUGAAGCGAACCAGGAGAACUGAAACAUCUAAGUACCCUGAGGAAAAGAAAUCAACC